rnacentral:rRNA from 1 species
AUUGAACGCUGGCGGCAUGCCUUACACAUGCAAGUCGAACGGUAACAGGUCUUCGGAUGCUGACGAGUGGCGAACGGGUGAGUAAUACAUCGGAACGUGCCUAGUAGUGGGGGAUAACUACUCGAAAGAGUGGCUAAUACCGCAUGAGAUCUACGGAUGAAAGCAGGGGAUCGCAAGACCUUGUGCUACUAGAGCGGCCGAUGGCAGAUUAGGUAGUUGUUGGGAUAAAAGCUUACCAAGCCGACGAACUGUAGCUGGUCUGAGAGGACGAUCAGGCACACGGGGACGGAGACACUGCCCAGACUCCUACGGGAGGCAGAGGUGGGGAAUUUUGGACAAGGGGCGAAAGCCUGAUCCAGCAAUGCCGCGUGCAGGAUGAAGGCCUUCGGGUUGUAAACUGCUUUUGUACGGAACGAAAAGCCCCGGGUUAAUACCCUGGGGUCAUGACGGUACCGUAAGAAUAAGCACCGGCUAACUACGUGCCAGCCGCCGCGGUAA